rnacentral:rRNA from 1 species
CGUCUAUAUACGUAUAGCAUAUCAAUAAGCGGAGGAAAAGAAACUAACUAGGAUUCCCUCAGUAACGGCGAGUGAAGCGGGAAGAGCUCAAAUUUGAAAUCUUCAAGGUUCUACCUUGACGAAUUGUAGUUUAAAGAAGUGUUUUCUGUUGGAGUUUUGGUAAAAGUUCUUUGGAAUAGGACAUCGAUAGAGGGUGAGAAUCCCGUAUUUGACCAUUAUUUCCAACUUUGUGAUACACUUUCAAAGAGUCGGAUUGUUUGGGAAUGCAGUCCAAAAUGGGUGGUAAAUUUCAUCUAAAGCUAAAUACUGGCGAGAGACCGAUAGCGAACAAGUACCGUGAGGGAAAGAUGAAAAGAACUUUGAAAAGAGAGUUAAACAGUACGUGAAAUUGUCAAAAGGGAAGCGUUUGACACCAGUGUUGUUUUCUCGAAAAUCAAUUAAAAAUGACCGGAUUUUGUGUUGUAUUGACUUUAUCAGCUUUCUGCACUUUUUUCUUGUCUUUUUUAAUGCACUUUUCGUUUAACAAGUCAACAUCAAUUUCUUUUGUUGUAAAAGGGUCAUUGGAAGGUGGCUUUCUUUUCGGAGAAAGUGUUUAUAGCCUUUGACUUCUGCAGUCGGAGAGAUUGAGGUCUGCAGCGUAGAUCCUUCGGGGUUAGAUGCAUUUGUGCUAAGUUAUAGCCUUUCAUAGACAACUUGUUGACUAUGAUCAGUCAUGUAGCUUACUCGCUUAUGCUAUUUUACCUACGCUUAGGAUGUUGACGAUCAGCUGAGCGCG